rnacentral:rRNA from 1 species
ACGGGAGGCAGCAGUGGGGAAUAUUGCACAAUGGGGGAAACCCUGAUGCAGCGAUGCCGCGUGGAGGAAGAAGGUUUUCGGAUUGUAAACUCCUGUCUUAAAGGACGAUAAUGACGGUACUUUAGGAGGAAGCUCCGGCUAACUACGUGCCAGCAGCCGCGGUAAUACGUAGGGAGCGAGCGUUGUCCGGAAUUACUGGGUGUAAAGGGAGUGUAGGCGGGAUUGCAAGUCAGAUGUGAAAUAUACGGGCUCAACCUGUAGACUGCAUUUGAAACUGUAGUUCUUGAGUGAAGUAGAGGCAAGCGGAAUUCCUGGUGUAGCGGUGAAAUGCGUAGAUAUCAGGAGGAACACCGGUGGCGAAGGCGGCUUGCUGGGCUUUUACUGACGCUGAGGCUCGAAAGCGUGGGGAGCAAACAGGAUUAGAUACCCUGGUA